rnacentral:rRNA from 1 species
UACGGGGGGAGCAAGCGUUGUUCGGAUUUACUGGGCGUAAAGGGCGCGUAGGCGGUCGUGACAAGUCACUUGUGAAAUCUCCGGGCUUAACUCGGAACGGUCAAGUGAUACUGUCGGACUAGAGUACAGAAGGGGCAACUGGAAUUCUCGGUGUAGCGGUGAAAUGCGUAGAUAUCAAGUGGAACACCAGUGGCGAAGGCGAAUCCCUGGAAAAUACCUGACACUGAGGCACGAAAGCUAGGGGAGCAAACAGG